AAAACUAUUAGACAGUUUACACCAAGAUAUAGCUUGGUAAACAACAUUGUCGAAAAGUUUUGUGUAGGUCUGUGUCUUUUCUACAAAUAUUCUCUUAUUUCUUUUUUUCCACCGAUUCCAAAAGAAAGCCAUGAUGAGGUUUUCCCAUAAUAGGGCUUUUGCGUUCUUGAAAGGGUGGUACGUUAAGGCCAUAUCCAAAAAA